GAUGAACGCUAGCGGCAGGCUUAAUACAUGCAAGUCGAGGGGCAUCAAGGUACACGAAAGUGUAUUGUUGGCGACCGGCGGACGGGUGAGUGAUAGGUAGGUAACCUACCUCAUACUGAGGCAUAGCUGGGAGAAAUUCCAGGUAAUUCCUCAUGAGGUUAUAUGACACAUGUGAUAUAAUCAAAGGUAUCGCAAGGUACUGGUAUGAGAUGGGCUUACUGACCAUUAGCUAGUUGGUGAGAUAAGAGCUCACCAAGGCGAAGAUGGUUAGGGGUUUUGAGAGAGAGAUCCCCCACAUUGGAACUGAGAUACGGUCCAGACUCCUACGGGAGGCAGCAGUAGGGAAUAUUGGGCAAUGGGCGGAAGCCUGACCCAGCCAUGCCGCGUGAAGGAAGACGGCCUUAUGGGUUGUAAACUUCUUUACUAUGCGACUAACUAGAUUUACGAGAUAAUUCUAUAGAAUGUAGCAUAGC
rnacentral:rRNA from 1 species